GAUGAAGAACGUAGCGAAAUGCGAUAAGUAAUGUGAAUUGCAGAAUUCAGUGAAUCAUCGAAUCUUUGAACGCACCUUGCGCUCUUUGGUAUUCCGAAGAGCAUGCCUGUUUGAGUGUCAUGAAAAUAUCAACCUUGACUUGGGUUUUGUGCUCUAGUCUCGGCUUGGAAUUGGGUGCUUGCCGCUUUUACGAGCGGCUCACCUUAAAUGUAUUAGCUGGAUCUGUCUUUGAGACUUGGUUUGACUUGGCGUAAUAAGUAUUUCGCUAAGGACAUUCUUCGGAGUGGCCUCGUUUCUAGGACGCUUGUCCGCUUUCCAAUACAAGUUCCACCUCGUGGACAUGACUUUUUAUUAUCUGGCCUCUAAUCAGGUAGGACUACCCGCUGAACUUAAGCAUAUCAAUAAGCGGAGA
rnacentral:misc_RNA from 1 species